rnacentral:rRNA from 1 species
GCGGAGGAGCAUGUGGUUUAAUUCGAUGAUACGCGAGGAACCUUACCUGGGCUCGAACGUAAGAUGACUGUAGGUGAAAGCUUACAUCUCUCGGAGCAUUUUACGAGGUGCUGCAUGGUUGUCGUCAGCUCGUGCCGUGAGGUGUCGGGUUAAGUCCCAUAACGAGCGCAACCCUACCUUUAGUUGCCAUCAGGUAAUGCUGGGGACUCUAAAGGAACUGCCUACGCAAGUAGUGAGGAAGGCGGGGAUGACGUCAAAUCAGCACGGCCCUUACGUCCAGGGCUACACACGUGCUACAAUGGCCGAUACAGAGGGCAGCUACCUGGUGACAGGAUGCAAAUCUCCAAAGUCGGUCUCAGUUCGGAUCGGAGUCUGCAACCCGACUCCGUGAAGUUGGAUUCGCUAGUAAUCGCGCAUCAGCCAUGGCGCGGUGAAUACGUUCCCGGGCCUU